GAAUAUUGGACAAUGGGCGCAAGCCUGAUCCAGCCAUGCCGCGUGAGUGAAGAAGGCCCUCGGGUUGUAAAGCUCUUUUGUCCGGAAAGAAAAGCUUUCGGUUAAUACCCGGAAGUCCUGACGGUACCGGAAGAAUAAGCACCGGCUAACUUCGUGCCAGCAGCCGCGGUAAUACGAAGGGUGCAAGCGUUACUCGGAAUUACUGGGCGUAAAGCGUGCGUAGGUGGUUUGUUAAGUCUGAUGUGAAAGCCCUGGGCUCAACCUGGGAAUGGCAUUGGAAACUGGCUGACUGGAGUGCGGUAGAGGGUAGUGGAAUUCCCGGUGUAGCAGUGAAAUGCGUAGAUAUCGGGAGGAACAUCCGUGGCUAAGGCGACUACCUGGACCAGCACUGACACUGAGGCACGAAAGCGUGGGGAGCAAACAG
rnacentral:rRNA from 1 species